GAUGAACGCUGGCGGCGUGCUUAACACAUGCGAGUCGAACGAAGCACUUUAUUUGAUUUCCUUCGGGACUGAUUAUUUUGUGACUGAGUGGCGGACGGGUGAGUAACGCGUGGGUAACCUGCCUUGUACAGGGGGAUAACAGUUGGAAACGGCUGCUAAUACCGCAUAAGCGCACAGCAUCGCAUGAUGCAGUGUGAAAAACUCCGGUGGUAUAAGAUGGACCCGCGUUGGAUUAGCUAGUUGGUGAGGUACGGCCCACCAAGGCGACGAUCCAUAGCCGACCUGAGAGGGUGACCGGCCACAUUGGGACUGAGACACGGCCCAAACUCCUACGGGAGGCAGCAGUGGGGAAUAUUGCACAAUGGGCGAAAGCCUGAUGCAGCGACGCCGCGUGAGCGAAGAAGUAUUUCGGUAUGUAAAGCUCUAUCAGCAGGGAAGAUAAUGACGGUACCUGACUAAGAAGCACCGGCUAAAUACGUG
rnacentral:rRNA from 1 species